rnacentral:lncRNA from 1 species
GGACAGGGGUUGUCUCUGGGUGUCCAUCUGUCCAUCCCCUGGCUGCAGGACAGCCUUGGAGGGAGCAGGGCAUGGCAUUGGGAAAUCUCCAUUAGCUGUCUGUGCCUCAGUUUCCCCAUCUCGGAUCCUCAUUUUGAUUUACAAAGUGAUGCAUAGAUCUCAGUUUUACCCCUCCAGGAGGAGUUUUGCCAGCAGAUACUGAAUCCCCUCGGAAAAGAACAAUGCACAGAGCAGCAAGAGUUGAUGAACGUGCUGACAAUUAACAAUCCUGUCCUGGCCAGCAGUGGGGUGCAGAGGGAAGGCUCAGAGCUGCUCCCAGCACUGCCCUGCUCCCACCAGAGUGACAGGGUGUCCCUGUGCAGGGUGACACUGCCACUGCCGCCGUCAGCCCGUGACACCCAGAUGAGCCUGUCGGUUCCACGUACUGUGAUUGCCACCCCCUCCUCGCCCAGCACGGCAGCCAAAUUGGAGGAGAAAAGGGAGGACGUGCUGCUCUGAGAAGGCUGGAAGACAUCACAAAAAGAAAAAAAGGGAGAUCCAGUAUUUGCCACAGAUCUGCAGUGACAAAAUGGGAUGGGGAAGGAGAUGAUGGCAGGUAGGGAAGGUGAGAAGUGGCUGCAGGAUUGUUUCUUUCGAGGCAGGUGAGAUAACCCAGCUCUGUAAUGCCUCACCCAGCUGCAAAUCUGCCCAGAAAAUUCAUCUUUUCAUAAUAUUUUUAUAUGUACAGCUCUUUCCCAAGUCCCCCUGGGAUGUCUUUAAUGGGGUGCAUGGGGUUUUUUUUUUCUUUCUUGUUUGUAGAAGAAAAACUUUUCCACAGGAGACGUGGGGAAACAACCCUCCCUUUUUCUGGUGGGAAAAUAAGUGCCAGUUUUGUUCACCUCUAUUUCUGUGUAAAUGGGGUUGUUAGAGAGAGAGCCUGUGCCUGGGGUAUGCAGAGCCUCACCUGUCUCACAGACAAAACCCAUCACGCCUGACAGCACAAAUUCAAUGAUUUCCCUGCGAUUCCAGCCGGGGAGGAAGGCACAGAAAUGAGAGAAAGAGAAAUGCACACUGUCCAGGUGGAAACUGCUUUCCCAGCACUGUGAUUUUUCCUGGGAACUGGAGCCAGCAGCCUCCGUGGCAGGAACUUUUCCAGCUGCUCGCCCUCCCCUCCCUGGCUGCUGCUGCUUCUGUGCAGUUAUAGAUUUUAAGAUAAGGUGCUUUUGUUUCCCAGCUGUGCCUGGGUCACCGUUUGGAACUGAUAUGACAGGCCUCAGGCUAGCAGAGAAAUUUGUUACAAGUUCCCAUUUCGGGGACGUGUCUCCAGUCCAAUAGCCUAUUUACUCUCUCGGGGAUCUAUUUUUAAAAGUUAUUAGCAGAUUACUGGUUUUCUAUCAACCUCAGGCACCAAUCUCCCAAAGAUACUAUUGUACUUUAAUAAGGUGCAUUUGAUAAUCCUCAGAUAAAGGCAUUUGAAGUGAGGGGGAGGAGAGGGAGAAACUCUUGCACCGACUCCAGU